AUUCAACUCAUACAUUGUUGUUAGAAGCAUUAGCACUUAAUUAUUAGUUUGCAUCAUUCUUCUCCUUAUUUCCAACCAUAGCGAUGGAACAUGGAAUCUCUGAGAGCUAUCCAUUGUAUUAGUGUGUAAAGCUCAUACUUGGAGGAGAAGCACUAGGAUGUCCUUAUAAUAAUCAAAACGCAAUGUCCGACAUAAUGACCGAUACAGAUGGGUAGCAUUCGGCCGGAUUUGAUGGAGUUUCUGCAGCACAAGAAUCAAAGGAGAUGGCAG